GACGAACGCUGGCGGCGUGCUUAACACAUGCAAGUCGAACGGAAAGGCCCUGCUUUUGUGGGGUGCUCGAGUGGCGAACGGGUGAGUAACACGUGAGUAACCUGCCCUUGACUUUGGGAUAACGUCAGGAAACUGGGGCUAAUACCGGAUAGGAGCUCCUGCUGCAGGGUGGGGGUUGGAAAGUUUCGGCGGUUGGGGAUGGACUCGCGGCUUAUCAGCUGGUUGGUGGGGGAGUGGCUUACCAAGGCUUUGACGGGUAGCCGGCCUGAGAGGGUGACCGGCCACAUUGGGACUGCGAUACGGCCCAGACUCCUACGGGGGGCAGCAGUGGGGAAUAUUGCACCAUGGGCGGAAGCCUGCUGCAGCAACGCCGCGUGCGGGAUGACGGCCUUCGGGUUGUAAACAGCUUUCGCCUGUGACGAAGCGUGAGUGACGGUAAUGGGUAAAGAAGCACCGGCUAACUACGUG
rnacentral:rRNA from 1 species